rnacentral:rRNA from 1 species
AGUGAACGCUGGCGGUAGGCCUAACACAUGCAAGUCGAACGGCAGCACAGUAAGAGCUUGCUCUUACGGGUGGCGAGUGGCGGACGGGUGAGGAAUACAUCGGAAUCUACUUUUUCGUGGGGGAUAACGUAGGGAAACUUACGCUAAUACCGCAUACGACCUACGGGUGAAAGCAGGGGAUCUUCGGACCUUGCGCGAUUGAAUGAGCCGAUGUCGGAUUAGCUAGUUGGCGGGGUAAAGGCCCACCAAGGCGACGAUCCGUAGCUGGUCUGAGAGGAUGAUCAGCGACACUGGGAGGGGGAAACGGUGGGGAAUACUACAGGAGGCGGGAGAGGCGAAUCAUGGAAUAUGGGGGAAAGGCUGAUCGAGUUAUGGUGGGUGAGCCAUGUAGGUGUGAGAGAUAUAAAGCAGUUUAAUACCGGAUGGUAAUGACGGUACCGAAAGAAUAAGCUCCGGCUAACUUCGUG